rfam:Triticum aestivum genome assembly, contig: Triticum_aestivum_CS42_TGACv1_scaffold_030330_1BL
AUAAUACUCCCUCUGUCCGGAAUUACUUGUCAUCAAAAUGGAUGUGUCUAGAACUAAAAUACAUCUAGAUACAUCCAUUUCAAUGACAAGUAUUUUCGGACGGAGGGAGUAGUAG